rnacentral:rRNA from 1 species
GAUGAACGCUAGCGGCAGGCCUAAUACAUGCAAGCUGAACGGUAAAUAUUGUAGCAAUACGAUAUGAGAGUAGCGUAAGGGUGCGUAACACGUAUGCAAUCUGCCCCGUACGGGAGGAUAGCUCGGCGAAAGCCGGAUUAAUACUCCGUAAUAUUAUUGGAAGGCAUCUUUUGAUAAUUAAAGUCGCAAGACGGUACGGGAUGAGCAUGCGUCUGAUUAGCUAGUUGGUAGUGUAACGGACUACCAAGGCGAUGAUCAGUAGGGGAACUGAGAGGUUGACCCCCCACACUGGCACUGAGAUACGGGCCAGACUCCUACGGGAGGCAGCAGUGGGGAAUAUUGGUCAAUGGAUGCAAGGCUGAACCAGCCAUGCCGCGUGCAGGAAGAAGGCCUUCUGGGUUGUAAACUGCUUUUGCCGGGGGAUAAAAUUCCCAUGCGUGGGAAAUUGAAGGUACCCGGUGAAUAAGCCACGGCUAACUACGUGCCAGCCGCCGCCGUAAAAC